UGCCCACGGGGCUGCCCUCCUCCAGCUCACCCAGCGACAGGCACACCUUGAGGCCUGAGACUGGCAGAGGUGCUGCAGGGACAAGGAGCUGAAAUGACUCGUCUUGGGCGUCCCUCCACCCCCAUGCCUCCUCCAUGACUGAAAUCAUGUGCUGCAAUCCUGUCCUUCACUCCCAAGGUGGCUCCCCUGGCCCCAGACACCCUCAUCCAUCACAUGGUUUUGUCAUUUUGGGAGCCACCCAUAAUGUGUUCGGCAAAGCAAGACGUCCUGGAACCCCUCCCCCACCAAGAGGAAUGUCUCCAUGAAAGUCAUGUGUGUGUGUGUGUGUGUGUGUGUGUGCACGCACGCCCAUCCUUGCUGAACACCUUCUUCGCCUCCUUUCUUAGGGUCACCACUCAGACUUGGGCUGAGAGCCAGACCUUCCUGUCGUCUCUGGGCCCCUGCAGGUCCACUGGUCCCCAGCAGCCCUAGAGAGAGCCCACACCGGCAGGAACACGUUUGCGGAAGUCCUGCCGCUUACCGGGCACUAUGCCAAUCUUCACCGGCACCUUCACAGGGACGCCAUGCGGCAGGUUUAUUGCUGCAAACCCCCCAGGAUCCUCGGCGGAAAGCAGUGGUGCAUGAGCUGGUCCGUCCUUCACAGCAGGGGAGAGCGGAGGAGAGACUGGGACCGUAAUGGGGGUUACUGGCCGCGAGGCCCAAAAAGCGCUUGGCCUGUGCUUGGCACACAGCACAUCCUCCGUAAGUGAUGGCCCGUUGUCCCUUCGCCAGCAGCCAGGUACAGGUGGCCCGAGGGCCCUCUCUCCCAGGCUGCUUGCACCCCCUUUCUGAUGGACGCGCUGGCCUCCUCGGGCGCGGCUGGGGGAGCAUGAGACAGGAGGAUUUGGGGCGAGUGACGGGAAUGCGGACC